CCUUUCCUCUCCUAUCCGGGGGCAAGGACCGGGGGUCUGCAGGUGAUUCUCCGGACGUGUCCCCGGCCGCUGCGGCUCCUCGUCCCGGAGGUUACCCGGUGAUCUGUCGGUGACACAUUCAGCCCCCCCCCCAUCUGUUUACCAUUGUGUGCAGCUGCAGCUCGAACCUCAAACAUCUGCAGCGUCGCAGAGAAGAACUCGGUCCAAGAUGAUGCAGAUAAGAAACCAGCUGAAGCCGGGACUGAAGGAUCCUCCAGGACUGACUGCAGGAUCCUCCAGUACGACAGGAUCCUCCAGACAUUCGGAUCCUCCCUGGCACCACAGACAGACGUCUCCCACCACCAGAGAGAUUCGUGGAGGUAAAGAAUGAAGCAUCACUGACCCGAUGACCUCUUUGGGGACUUUGGGACACUGGAGCUCUCCUUCCUGCUGUAGCUGGGACAUCAGUCCUCUCUCCUCCACAGCAUCCGCUCUCAUCCUGGCCCUCUUCUGCAGAAUGAUCAUCAACAGGGACGUCUUCCAAGAUGGACUUCCGUCUCUCACACUCCGACUACGUCCACAUGUAACCUGGAGGUUCUACACUGGCUCUAUCUGUCUGGAAGUCUCCAUGAUUUGGGGAUUUUCAGUCAGAUUUAAGCGAGAUAGUUUUCAGGUCACACGUAAACGUAGUCACUAAGUUUUUACAGUAAAAUCCCACUGUUAUAGGACAAGAGCCGGUUGAUGAUGAACAAAUCAGCUGCUCCUCUAUUCUGCAAAGAAGGUAAAGACACAAGAUACUGUAGCAAAGAUCAAGGCCUGUGAUUAGAUCCGACUCACAGGGAGUUCUUCUGUAGUUUUUUGCACUACCUCAGUGCCGUAACAAGUCCAACAGGAGGGAGAGACGGGUGGGACCAGUACCUGAAGCUCAAUGGUUGUCAAGUACCACAGCAGAUUUAAAUAUUGUUCCCGGAUGAGUCUGGUUUUAGUGGUAUUGGAUCAACAUGUGAGGCUGUCGACUGGUGAACAGGAGCAAAACAACCCAAGCACAUGAUGCACAUUUACUUUAGAUUCAGCCACUUUGAGUAACGCCCUCAAACUGUGGUCUCCUAUGCAUCUGUUCUGAAGGAAGGUCACAAGGUCGUCUUUUCACCCCAUGCUCUCAUUUUGGCAUUUUGGGUUUAUUUAGUUCUCUUUGGUCAAGUCUGCAGGUUUAAUCAGUUUGACACAGACCUUGUGACUCGAGAUCCCAAAAAAUAUGGAAACUUAUAGUUUAGAAUGUGUCUUUUAUCUCAAAAGUCUCAUCCAGUUUUCUUUCUUUUCCCCUUAAAAAAACGUUUAUGUUCUCAUUUGAUCAUUUUCAUAUUCAUUGUUUAAAUUCUGCAAGUAGGGACAGAAUUGAUCCUUCGAUUCCUUUCAUUCCAUCAAUCAUGAGACAAAAUAUUAAGUGAAAACAGCUUUUUGAUGUGUCCAGUAAGUUGAGGAAACCAGUGCUGAAGUAGCAUCUAGCACUGGUUCUUACAUGAAGGAAACCCUGGCCCCAUUUCUUUCUUUCCUUUCACAUUUUUGUGAAAGAUUUACUUUAAAAAAUCAAAUUUUCCGGGAUUUGUGCAAUAUUUGAUCCUAACUGUCAUGUUGUUGACCAAACUGUAUAUUGUAUAAACAAGUGACAAGUUGUUUGAAAGCAACAAGAUCACCAAUGUCUUCCAUUAAGAUAUGUAUAGACUCAUGUGCAUUAACCAGCCUAUUUAGCGGGACUGUGAUGCCACAUUAUUGUAGCCAUGCAUGACCAGUAGUGAUGCUUGCUUUAUGACGAGUAGUGAAAUCAGUUUUCUAGACUAAGCUGGAGCUCAAAACUAUGGAAACCAUUUCAGUCAAAUUAAAGGGUUGUAGACUGACAUUCUAAAUCUUUAAAGACACCAAGUGGAGAAGCAGCUUGGCCUGUAAACACGAGAUAUGCAGUUCUUAAGUAUAUAAGUAAGUGUUGUUUUACUCUUCUUAGAACUUUUAUCUUUUAAAAAAAAGCUUUAGAGAUAUUCUAACAUAUUCGCAUGCACCAAAAGAAUUAGUAAAUUUUUGAAUAACAACCAUAAAGUUCCCAUGAAAGGAGUCUCAGACGUAAAUAUGACAGAAUACCUUAAUAAAAGAGUAUAACGUUCCUCCUGGAUUAGGAUCUAAUUGGCAGGUGGUGUUUCAGUCCUAGAAUAAAGAUCUCACCAUGACAUCGCAUUGUACAUAAUACCUCCUAGUUUUGGGAUUCAAAGUGUUAUAAUUCAAUCCAUACAAUUGUAUUUGAUUAGAGUUUUAGAAGCAAUAACCUACAAUAAUGCAUGAGUUCAGUGCCAGGGUGUAAGUGUUCAAAGGAUUCCCUGCCGUGCCGUGGAAAGGACCCCCCCCCCCACCUCUUUACGCUUAAUGUAGCCGUCUAUCUAUUGGUCACUUUUCUUUAGCUUUAGAAAACAGUAUCUCUUCUACAGGUCUGGGAUACUUCCUGCAGAACUACGUGCAUGUGAGGACUGCUGUAGCAGAACAGUAUUUACAAGUUUACCGAGACACUUAUAUUUUUCAGAGACUAUUUUCCCUGCUUUGUAUUUUUUCAAACACAAAAAAACAAUAAGGUAAACCAACAUGAGAGACGCUUUAAAGGAUAAUUCUUCUUCUUGUAGCAUUUUACAUCCAAAAAACCCCCGUUCCUUUAAAAAUCCAGAUUUCCAGUAACUCUGUAGCUGUGAAGUAAGUUUACUGAACUUGCUUGAAAGGCACUUUCUCUCUGUGCCGACUUGCACCAUCAUCCUCAACGUCCCGUCUUGAAAACUGUAAACUAAAAACCCUGUGAUGCUCUUUGUGGGGAUUUAUAAUCGCAAUUUAUAAGCAAGUAGGCGUCUAGCGACUUGAAUAUAUGGGUACAAAAAAUAUGCAUGACUAAGCAGAAUAAAGAAUGAUUUGUAUUGCAUGCAAUAAUCCAACUUUGUAAUGUGAAUGGGUGUAAGUAGGAUGUUGAAAUGUUCAUGUCAGGUGUUCUGUGACAAGGGGACGGUUGUUUGAUUCUACUUGAGGAGCGUUGAGGGAGUUUGGAUCAUCGUGGUUUUCACAGACUGCUCAGCACCAAAAAGAAACAGUGGAGUGUUUCAAGUGUUUCUGCUCUCACUCUCUCUGCUGAGUCAAACGUAACCAUGGCAGCGUUGCCACAGGGCAGCUCAACAACCCCGAUCAACCUUUGUUCCCACGGAAAAAAACAACAACACACAUAUAUAAGCCUGGGUAAGAUUAAUGAUGUUACUUUGUUUGAUCAACUUUUCCACCGAGGGGGUGGACUGUGUGGAAACUAUGCACCUCAGACGGAGGAAGUGGGCAUGCUUAUUAUGUGUAGGCCUCUUGUCUGGUUUUGUAUUAACAAAGGAAAAAAAAAAGAAUCUGUAUCAGAAAUUCAGCAAUAAAAUGCAGCAUGGUGCCAA